UCCCGAUUUUCUCGCUCUCUCCAGAGGAGUGGUCCAACUGCGGCGGCGACGGUGAGGCGCGCGCGCACAAGAAGACACGGCGGCGCGAGGCACGCCGGACAUGGCGACGCGGUAGCUUCGCUCGCCGGAGCAGCGUGCACAAGGACUUGGUCCGGCGCGCUCCUCCGUCGAGCGUAGCUCCGGAGACGCGACCACGUAGCCGUGGCGUUUACGGGCAUUUCGCCGGCGGCUGCCGGCGCACGCUUUGACGGCGACAGCGAGGAACAAGGCACGAAGUCCAGCAGCGGUUGCAUCUUCUUUCCGCGCCGUAACGAGAGACAGCGGCGUUCCGGCCAUGGCGUACACGCACGGCGGUGGCCGUGGCCGUGCGGACCCUAAGACCGGCAUGCUCAUAAACGCACAGCGGAGCCCAUGAUCUCAAGUGGCGAGGAUGAGCAGCACCAGUGGCGCCAAGGUGAUGUAGUCGUGGAGAGGCAGCAGCUCACCCAGGAGCUUCGCGGUGGCAGCAGGAAACCGCCGGCACAGCCUUGCGGCGGCUGGCGAUGGAAACGGCCUUCCCAUUGCGUAACACACCCCUAGAUCGGUAGGUUUGAGGGAAUUAAGGGGCUAGAUAUCAUGUACGUGAACUCAGGUGCCAUAAGUAUCCAGGCCCCACCCUUU